GGGGACAUUUGGGUUUACGAGGACAGAGGCCAUGUCCUCAUAAUUCCGACAGUGUAAACGCCAUCUACGAUGUCCCAGAUGCUCCCUCUCAAAGUUUGGCGCCAUGUCUUUAUAUACCACAAAACCCUGAAAUUUUACCAUACACAGUGUAUCCCUGAUUUCGCGAGUGUCGCCCCUGUAGCCAGGUCCCGGUAUUACACCCGCGUCAUCAAAAAUUUGCAUGUUUUACACAAGUGUAUGCUUCGAGGCCUGUGAUUGGACAGAUCGGUACCGGUAGGCGGGAAAUUGCGAAAACACAAUGGCGCCGGUGGGCGGAGCUUCAUUCAGCGUCAGCAUAGUCUUUAUAACAAGCAACUUAAUGCAAAAUAAUUAUUAUUUAAGUAUUUUUGCCUGUAAUUUAUUAAUUGUGGAUUAAUUGUAUGAUAAAUAAAUAAAUAAAACCCUGUUUAUAUUAUGAUAAGUUAGACGUAACUUAAUCAGGUCACGGUCGUCACGGUCACUUCCUGUUUGAACGAGAGACAAACUCUGGACCUGAAAGGACCGAAAGGACAUAUCUGGACCCGAUGAAAGCAACUGUUAUGUGUUAGAUGAGCCAUAAGACCCAGUUGUCCUCAGGCAGUGAUGAUUAUGUGCUCUGACUCUGGGACUGCACGAGACUCCCAGUGAGGUUGAUUGCUCCACUCUCGAAAUCAACACUCGAAAUCAAGUCGGAGAUGAACAGAAGAUGAGCCCUGAGAAGGACCAUAUCAGAUCAUCAUUGGAGGGUCAAGAGUCAAGACUGUGUUGACAUGAUGAGAUCAGUGUGACGGAUUCUGCUGCCAGUGAUCCUGAUGGAAGCGGUUCUGGAGGAGAUGUUGCUGCUGGAGCUGCAGCGUCUCUAGUUAUGUUGGUAUGUGUCAACUAAUGCUGGGUACACACCAAA